rnacentral:lncRNA from 1 species
GUUCGAGGGAAACUCGGCUCGUGAUUGGUGCAAUUGAUGACAGCUGACAGUCAAGAGGAGGAAAUUCGGGUCCGUUUUCGGUUCGCCAGGUCCUUUCCCUGGGAGGCGUCGACCGGUGCCCUUGAAAUGCGGGGGGAAGUCCCGGAAAAUCGCUCGGGAAAACCGAAAAAGUGAGGAUUAAUUAUGAAAGGUGUGUAAAAAGUGUUCUCUAGAGCGUGAGCUUCAUUUUGAUGUAAUUUUCGUGGGUGUGCCCCUAUUUUUUCUAUGGAAAAAGUGCGAGUGUGGCCUUUUCUGGGAGCUAUCGACGGUCCAGAGGAGGACACAGACAGAAAAAGACGAGAACACAGUUAGAGACAUAACCUCACAUAUGGCCCCUCUGGGUAGUUAUCGAGUCCAGAGGAGGUCGAACAGAACAGGGACAGAAGAGGACUCAAGGAAAUGCCUCCCGGAGGUAAAAAGAGUACAAACAUAACCUCACAUAAGGCCCCUCUGGGAGCAAUCGAGUCCAGAGGAGGUCGAGCAGAACAGGGACAGAAGAUAUCAUAUAAGAAAAGGACAAAAGAAGACAGUUAAGAGGAGAUGGAACCCCAAUUGUCAUGUGGUCCAUCUCGAGUAGUCCCUGGAAACAGUCGAGCAGCAGUGAAACAAAAGAGGAUCCGAGAGGGAAAUGCUUCUGGAGGUCAGAGGCAGCAACUUCCCCUAUUAGGGGACAUAAUAUGAACCAAAAAACAACUACAGAGACUGACUAUAUAUAUGCUUGAAGUAGCACUAGAGAAUUUGAUUUAAUGCAGUAUGAAGAUCUUGUACCAGAGUCCUGGACCGGAAACUUUCAUUUGUUUUGUUUUUUUCAAACAAAAGAACAGGGGAAACAGUUGAAGCUUGCAGAUGACCGGACCUUUGGAGUGUUUCUUCAUAUUUUUCUUUUGUUUUUUCCUCAAUUGUUUUAUGUAUUUUAUUGUGCAUUUUUAUUUAAAAUUGUAAUAAAGUGUGCCCUAAA